AUCUAAAUAGUUUAAUAAAAAAUAUUAAUUUGUGGGAUUAAUGAUAUGAAUUUUUUAUUUUAGAUA
rnacentral:tRNA from 1 species